GAGACCUUGGGGAACAAUUUUAAAGUGGCUCAAUAGCGAUCGCAGAGCCAAACUCAUACCUACAUCAAUGUGGUGCAGAGAAUCUCUAAGAAUUUUUAAUGCUGAAUUGGAGCAAAGAAACUUCAAGGAGGAAGCAAAGUGAAGAACACAGAUUUCACAGAUGGGAUGCCUGGCUCAAAUUCCAGCUUGACCGCUGGUAGCUGUGUGACCCUCGGCAAGUUACUUGACCUCUCUCUACUCAGUGUCCUCAUCUGUCAGUGUAAUAUGAAUCAGAAAACAUGAACUCAGACUGAUGCUGGAAGCCACCUUAUGACUAUAAGCAGAAUCAGCCUCGUUAUGACGUUGAUGCUAUAAGCAACGGACUGAAAGAUACAAAGAGCAAGCAGACAGGAUGGAAGCUAGACCAAGAAUGAAGUUAAUGCAUGGAUUAGGGAGAAACAAAGUGAAACUUAGCAAAACUGAUCCAGGACCCUGAUGACACGUGAAUGGAUCUGAUUCACGAUUUUGGUAUCUGACUGAUGCUGUCUUCGUGGAAUGAGUUAGGAAAGAGUCCCUCCUCGUCAACUGUUGGGAAUACAUUCAGCAGGGUUGGUAUCAUUGCAUGUCUGGCAGAAUUUGACUAGGAAUCCAUCUGGUCCAGGAUUUUUUUUGUUGGUGUAAUGAGAUUCACUGAAGAAUUCUCAGAGUGGAAUGAGCAACAGAUUUUCAUUAGCGAAAGCUCCUCUAGCUGCUGCAUGAAAUGAUGUCUAGACAGAGAAAUGCGUAAAUGGCGACAGUAGAGCCAGCCUUCAUGAAUCCAGAAAUGUGAGCCACAUUUUGAGGAUAGCAGAGUCACUGCAGAAGCCUGGAUCCUUGCAUAACCUUGUCGAGUGGGAAAAUCUACCCAUACUUGACCAACCACCUAACUGGGGGCUCUACAUCUGAGAGAAAUGAUUUUUUAUCUUAUUUAAGCCACUGUAGUUAGGAGUCAG
rnacentral:lncRNA from 1 species